rnacentral:rRNA from 1 species
UACGAAGGGGGCAAGCGUUGUUCGGAAUUACUGGGCGUAAAGGGCGCGUAGGCGGCUUAUCAAGUCAGGCGUGAAAUUCCCGGGCUCAACCUCGGGUCUGCAGUCGAUACGAGCAAACUAGAGUGUUGCAGGGGAGACUGGAAUUCCUGGUGUAGCGGUGAAAUGCGCAGAUAUCGAGGAGGAACACCGGUGGCGAAGGCGGAUCUCUGGGCCUUACCUGACGCUGGAGGCGACGAAAGCUAGGGGAGCGAACAGG